UUCCGGUUCCGGUAGCGCGCUACAAAAUUCCGCGCCAGUGAGCUGGUAUCCCUUUCCGGAACUCGCGUGGAGUGAGGCGGGGAUCGAGUUACGUGCUUGAUCAGCCCGCGUACCCCCUGUGCCGCAGCCCUCCUAGAAGGCAUCUACACCGGUGGACGCUCCCUUCCCUUCUUUACCACCUCGGGCCCGGUCCGUUGGGAGUGGGCGGCCUCAGUGGCUGCAGCCCCAGGAGCAGGCAGGCCCUAAUCUUGAGAUUUGAGGCUUCUCGGGCAGAGGUAGUUUUAGCUCACACUUCAGCUCUUUCUCCCCAGGUGGAGAUUUCUAUCUGGAGUCCCGGAACCCAUUGCUGAGCCCGGCCUCCAUCCUCUGAGCCGCGCCCCUAAAGUGGGAGGGAUCGGGCUCUGCUCCCGCCCAGAUGCCGAAGAUUACUAGGUCCAGCGUCCUCAGUUCCAACAUGGCGUGGAUCUCAGCAGACACUGCUGGUUCUCCCCCUGGAAGGGCUGCAGUGGGCCACACUACUGCUGCUUACCAGGGAGGGGAGGUGCUGGCUUGGCUUCCCAGAGUCCUAAGUUCCUACAUGGCGUGGAUCUCAGGAGACACCGCUCGGUAUCAGCCUUUUGAAGUCUGAGAUGUCAGGGUUGUGCCGCCAUCUGCAGCACCUCAAACCAUCCCAGAGCCACAGGAAGCACUGAACACACACGAGCAGGAAAAGCUGAGUGCCAGCAGGGAGCUGAGCAGCCCUGCACCAAAAGCAGUUCCAGAUCGGCACUGAGCUGAGCACUGAGUGGAUGGACGAGCCUCGGAGCUGGACCAGGGCCAGGAAGGUUCCUCGGGCUGAGCUGUGCUGGGGAGGCAGCUGCCGUUCCCUCUGCCGGCCACAGCCCCAGCCAUGGUCUAGAGCCUGGCCUGGGGCCUAAACACAGAUCCCCAUGCAGGCAGGUGAGCGUAAACUGGAACAGCGCUGCGGGCAGGCUGGGAGCACAGGACCGGCACAGGACAGGUAGUGGAACAAAGGCCAUCAGAGUGAGAAAGCACACAGGACAGCUGCCCCCACGUGUUCCCUACCUCUGUGAGUCUCUUACCCUUUGCUGUUUUGUCCAAGUUCAAUCCUGGUUUGGAAAACAAAGGCCACGGGUCCUGUCAGCGGCACAGUGAACAUCACAGCCAUAAUCUCCAGCUCACAUCUGUUCCUGAGAAUGAUCUAGGCAUUCUCCAACACUGACUCCUGUGAACAAAAACCAAUCUAUCACCUGGGACAGGUUUAUUAAGGACAGACUUAAUACUUCAAGGCAUCUUGAAUGAAUUUCUGGUGCAGUUCAGAAGCUUCCAUUCAUGUUACCAAAGCAAGAAUCACACAUUCCUGGCCCUGAAUCAAAGCCAGAAGCUUCCUGAUGCUGUUGGUUUCAAGCAGGAGCCUAAGGAGAUGUCUUUCUAUGCUCUGUUGGCCAUUUCAGAACUUGGGCAGUGAAAUGGUCAAUUCAUUAAAAAGAAACAGCUUUAAGCAACCCCUCCCCUCCUGGUGAGCGUCUGUGAGUGUGGCAGGCUCCGGUGGCCCAGGAUGGGAGCCUCCAGCGUUUACUGUGACCCGAGCCAUGCUGGGACCUGGAACGCCAGGAAACCAAGCAACCCCUCCCCCUCUGCCUGUUUUGUUUUAUUGAACUUCAAUGUACAUGAAAGUAUGGACAGCUAUUUUGAAGAAACGAGAGAUUCUACAACAGCCAUUAGUGACUUCCCUAUUGUCUGGUUUUGAAGACCUGAAACUCCUUCCUUGUUCUGUUCAGAUCAGUUUUAUACUAUGUUGUUUUGUAUGAAUUCUCUGUAUGCAAAGACAUGGACAACUAUUUGGAAGAAAACAAGAGACAAUAUGAUAGAUAGUGAAGAUCUCAGGUUGUCUAUCUUUGAAAUAUAUAUCUCUUGCAUUGUUUUCUUAUGUCCUAUUUUGUUCUGUUAUGUUGUGUUUAAUUCUACUCCCUUUAAAAUAAAAAGAAACACAUUCUGAAGUGAAA